AGUCACUGACAUUAGAUACCCGGGUAGUCCAGGGUGUAAACGCUGCAGACUUGGUGUUGGAGGCCCUUUGGGGGCAUUCAGUGCCGGAGAGAAGUUGUUAAGUCUGCUACUUGGGGAGUACGUCCGCAAGGAUGAAACUUAAAGGAAUUGGCGGGGGAGCACCGCAACGGGAGGAGCGAGCGGUUUAAUUGGAUUCAACACCGUAAACUCACCAGGGAAGACUGUUACAUGAAGGCCGAGAUGAAGACUCUGCUAGAUUUUCAG
rnacentral:rRNA from 1 species